GACGAACGCUGGCGGCGUGCUUAACACAUGCAAGUCGAACGGAAAGGCCCUGCUUUUGUGGGGUGCUCGAGUGGCGAACGGGUGAGUAACACGUGAGUAACCUGCCCUUGACUUUGGGAUAACUUCAGGAAACUGGGGCUAAUACCGGAUAGGAGCUCCUGCUGCAUGGUGGGGGAUGGAAAGUUUCGGCGGUUGGGGAUGGACUCGCGGCUUAUCAGCUUGUUGGGGGGGUAGUGGCUUACCAAGGCUUUGACGGGUAGCCGGCCUGAGAGGGUGACCGGCCACAUUGCGACUGAGAUACGGCCCAGACUCCUACGGGAGGCAGCAGUGGGGAAUAUUGCACAAUGGGCGGAAGCCUGAUGCAGCAACGCCGCGUGCGGGAUGACGGCCUUCGGGUUGUAAACCGCUUUCGCCUGUGACGAAGCGUGAGUGACGGUAAUGGGUAAAGAAGCACCGGCUAACUACGUG
rnacentral:rRNA from 1 species